UACGGGGGGGGCAAGCGUUGCUCGGAAUUAUUGGGCGUAACGCGCACGUAGGCGGCAUCGCAAGUCGGAUGUGAAAUCUUAUGGCUUAACCAUAAAAGUGCAUCCGAAACUGCAGUGCUUGAGUACUUAAGAGGAUCGCGGAAUUCCCGGUGUAGAGGUGAAAUUCGUAGAUAUCGGGAGGAACACCAGUGGCGAAGGCGGCGAUCUGGGAAGAUACUGACGCUGAGGUGCGAAAGCGUGGGGAGCAAACAGG
rnacentral:rRNA from 1 species